rnacentral:rRNA from 1 species
AGAGCGGUAGUCCGGAGAUGGGUACUGAGACAAGGACCCAGGCCCUACGGGGCGCAGCAGUUACGAAACCUCCACAAUGCACGAAAGUGCGAUGGGGCUACCCCGAGUGCCGUCCGCUGAGGAUGGCUUUUCCUUAGCGUAAUGAACUAGGGGAAUAAGGAGAGGGCA